rnacentral:rRNA from 1 species
UACGGGGGGGCAAGCGGUUGUUCGGAAUUACUGGGCGUAAAGGGCUCGUAGGCGGCCAACUAAGUCGGAUGUGAAAUCCCCAGGCUCAACUUGGGAACUGCAUCCGAUACUGGAUGGCUUGAAUUCGGGAGAGGGAUGCAGAAUCCAGGUGUAGCGGUGAAAUGCGUAGAUAUCUGGAGGAAUACCGGUGGCGAAGGCGGCUCUCUGGGACGGUACUGACGCUGAGACGGCGAAAGCGUGGGGAGCGAACAGG